GUAGGUGGCAAGCGUUGUCCGGAAUUAUUGGGCGUAAAGCGCGCGCAGGUGGUUCUUUAAGUCUGAUGUGAAAGCCCCCGGCUCAACCGGGGAGGGUCAUUGGAAACUGGGGAACUUGAGUGCAGGAGAGGAAAGUGGAAUUCCACGUGUAGCGGUGAAAUGCGUAGAUAUGUGGAGGAACACCAGUGGCGAAGGCGACUUUCUGGCCUGUAACUGACACUGAGGCGCGAAAGCGUGGGGAGCAAACAGGGAUUAGAUACCCUGGUAGUCCACGCCGUAAACGAUGAGUGCUAAGUGUCGGGGGGGUUUCCCGCCCCUCAGUGCUGCAGCUAACGCAUUAAGCACUCCGCCUGGGGAGUACGGUCGCAAGACUG
rnacentral:rRNA from 1 species